UACAGAGGGGGCAAGCGUUGUUCGGAAUUACUGGGCGUAAAGGGCGCGUAGGCGGCCUGCUAAGUCGAACGUGAAAUCCCUGGGCUCAACCCAGGAACUGCGUCCGAUACUGGUUGGCUUGAAUCCGGGAGAGGGAUGUGGAAUUCCAGGUGUAGCGGUGAAAUGCGUAGAUAUCUGGAGGAACACCGGUGGCGAAGGCGACAUCCUGGACCGGUAUUGACGCUGAGGCGCGAAAGCCCAGGGGGAGCAAACGGG
rnacentral:rRNA from 1 species